UCCGGUGGCGAUAGCGGAGGGGAAACACCUCUUCCCAUUCCGAACAGAGUAGUUAAGCCCUCUUGCGCCGAUGGUACUGCUUGGGUGACCUUGUGGGAGAGUAGGACGCUGCCGGGG
rnacentral:rRNA from 2 species